UACGUAGGGUGCAAGCGUUGUCCGGAAUUAUUGGGCGUAAAGAGCUCGUAGGCGGUUUGUCGCGUCGAAUGUGAAAACCCGGGGCUCAACUCCGGGCCUGCAUUUGAUACGGGCAGACUAGAGUUCGGUAGGGGAGACUGGAAUUCCUGGUGUAGCGGUGAAAUGCGCAGAUAUCAGGAGGAACACCGGUGGCGAAGGCGGGACUCUGGGCCGAUACUGACGCUGAGGAGCGAAAGCGUGGGGAGCGAACAGG
rnacentral:rRNA from 1 species